rnacentral:rRNA from 1 species
UACCGGGGGGGCGAGCGUUGCUCGGAAUUACUGGGCGUAAACCGUACGCAGGCUGUUCUCUAAGUCGCGUGUGAAAUCCCGGCGCUCAACCCCGGAAUUGCCCCCGAAACUGGUGGGCUUGAGAGCGGGAGAGGGAAGCGGAAUUCCUGGUGUAGAGGUGAAAUUCGUAGAUAUCAGGAGGAACACCUGUGGCGAAAGCGGCUUCCUGGCCCGGCACUGACGCUCAGGUACGAAAGCGUGGGGAGCAAACAGG